rnacentral:lncRNA from 1 species
UGGAUUAAUGAAAAAGGUUUAGAAUUUUUAUAUGGUUGGAUGGGAUAAGAGACACGAGUAUGCUUAGCAUAUUGACAAAUUUCACACGAAAAAUUAUCGACAUUUUUAUUGAUAAAUAAGGAAGGGAACAAUUUCUUUAAAUAAUGGAAACUAGGAUGUCCUAGUCUAUUAUGCCACAACAUGAUUUUAUUGGAAGUAGAAAAUAAUUCACUAGUCAAAGC